GCAUUUGGGUCUUGUAAGUGGUCAGUGGU
rnacentral:piRNA from 1 species